UGAGCGUGAGAUGACCGGAGAAUAAGCAUGCAUAUUCCAAUGACCAUAUCGUGAGUUGUUAUUCUCUUUAGAGAAUCUCUAAUUCGUUGUUAUUUUUAUUUCUAUAAUAGCAAUUAGAAUUAAAAGUAUUUCAACCCAAUUUCAUUUCUUUUUUUAUAAUAAAAAUUGUUAUUUUUUUUCUAUUUAUAAAGUAAAAAAUAGUAUUUCUCUAUUUUUAUUAUGUAUUUAAAUAUUAUUAUUCUAGAAGAAUACAUUGGAAUAUAUCUCAAUUUUACUAUAGAAUUCUUCUAAUUUAGAAAUAAAAAUAGUAAAAAUACAUUAGAUAUAAUGUAAAUUAUAGCAGAUAUGCAGUUUACAUUAGAUAUGCAGUUUAUUUAAUACUUUGUUUACUACAUGAUAAGCGUUGUCCAAAUAUGCGCGCAGAUUACUCCCAU
rnacentral:lncRNA from 1 species